rnacentral:rRNA from 1 species
UACGGAGGGAGCUAGCGUUGUUCGGAAUUACUGGGCGUAAAGCGCACGUAGGCGGCUUUGUAAGUUAGAGGUGAAAGCCCGGGGCUCAACCCCGGAAUUGCCUUUAAGACUGCAUCGCUUGAAUCCAGGAGAGGUGAGUGGAAUUCCGAGUGUAGAGGUGAAAUUCGUAGAUAUUCGGAAGAACACCAGUGGCGAAGGCGGCUCACUGGACUGGUAUUGACGCUGAGGGUGGCGAAAAGCGUGGGGAGCAAACAGG